rnacentral:rRNA from 1 species
UUCAGACGAUGCGUCAUGCAUAUCAAUAAGCGGAGGAAAAGAAACUAACAAGGAUUCCCUUAGUAACGGCGAGUGAAGCGGGAAGAGCUCAAAUUUGAAAUCUUCAAGGUUUUACCUUGACGAAUUGUAGUUUAAAGAAGUGUUUUCUGCUGAAGUUUUGGUAAAAGUUCUUUGGAAUAGGACAUCAUAGAGGGUGAGAAUCCCGUAUUUGACCAUUAUUUUCAGCUUUGUGAUACACUUUCAAAGAGUCGGAUUGUUUGGGAAUGCAGUCCAAAAUGGGUGGUAAAUUUCAUCUAAAGCUAAAUAUUGGCGAGAGACCGAUAGCGAACAAGUACCGUGAGGGAAAGAUGAAAAGAACUUUGAAAAGAGAGUUAAACAGUACGUGAAAUUGUCAAAAGGGAAGCGUUUGACACCAGUGUUGUUUUCUCGAAAAUCAAUUAAAAAUGGCUCGAUUUUGUAUUGCUUGAGACCUUAAAAGCUCACUGUACAUUUUUCGUGUCUUUUUUAAUGCACUUUUCGUUUAACAAGUCAACAUCAGUUUCUUUUGUUGUAAAAGGGUCAUUGGAAGGUGGCUUUCUUUUCGGAGAAAGUGUUUAUAGCCUUUGGCCUCUGCAAUCGGAGAGACUGAGGUCUGCAGCGUAGACUCUUCGGGGUUAGAUACAUUUGUGCUAAGUUAUAGCUUUUUAUAGACAACUUGUUGACUAUAAUUAGUCUUGUAGCUUACUCGCUUAUGCUAUUUUACCUACGCUUAGGAUGUUGACUGAUAUGUAGUCGUA